AGUCUCUCCGUAGAGAGAAUACGAUAACUGAAGAGGGCUUUAUAUGCUGAGAUGAAAUUUAGUUUGUUCAAAUCCGUAAUGAAUUGCCAUCGGGAAAGGAAUUUUCUAGAGAGAUCUUAGUCAUCUAAUUUGCGGCUGGCCUACUUGACCUUUUUCUUCUUUACUCCUGAAUCUUGUUUAUAAAAAAUGCAAUGUAAUAAAAUAUAAUUUAUAUUGUAUGUAAUAUAAAUUAUUUAUACCUCUGUGAAUAUAUAUGAUAAACAAAUGAAUAUAUACAAUGUAAUGUUAUAUUACAUCAUGGGUCAUUUUCUUCCUAAACUAUAAUCAUUUUUACAGUUUUAAACCAAAAAGGUAGUGAAAAUAAGCGAGCCCAUAUUAAAUUUCUAGGAAGUAUCCCUAAAUUGUUUCCUCAGUCUUUUGACUUAUUUCACAUGGAAUCCUAACAUACGUGGUUGUCUGUUUUUC
rnacentral:lncRNA from 1 species